rnacentral:rRNA from 1 species
AUUGAACGCUGGCGGCAUGCCUUACACAUGCAAGUCGAACGGCAGCACGGGAGCAAUCCUGGUGGCGAGUGGCGAACGGGUGAGUAAUAUAUCGGAACGUGCCCAGUAGUGGGGGAUAACUGCUCGAAAGAGCAGCUAAUACCGCAUACGACCUGAGGGUGAAAGGGGGGGAUCGCAAGACCUCUCGCUAUUGGAGCGGCCGAUAUCAGAUUAGCUAGUUGGUGGGGUAAAGGCCUACCAAGGCAACGAUCUGUAGUUGGUCUGAGAGGACGACCAGCCACACUGGGACUGAGACACGGCCCAGACUCCUACGGGAGGCAGCAGUGGGGGAAUUUUUGGACAAUGGGCGCAAGCCUGAUCCAGCAAUGCCGCGUGCAGGAA